CUCAUCUUUGAUAAAGGGGACUUCCCGUACACUUUCCCAGAAGAUUGCUGGACCUUUGCUCCUCCAGCAGGGACGCAUGCUGGAGAGACUAAUUCUCGAGAAUUGCAAUCCACCCGGACACCCAACUGCAGCCAGAGCUUUUCCUUCAUUCUUCCAACAACAGUUUCUCAUCUCUUCUCUACAAGAAAUCAUUCUACGUUACAGACUCUGGAGACAGCUGCAGCUCCACAGCUUUCCAGCAACAUCUCUGGGUUUUUACUUUUCUUUCCACCUAUUCUUAGCUCUCUUUGUCUUUUUUUUUUUUUUUUUUUUUUUUUUUUUUUUUUUUAAACUGCAAAAUUAGUCAUUCCCAUUUCUUAACUUCUCUGUAAAGGCAUAUAGCUUAUCAGCACAUUACCAUUUUUAAACAUCAUCCACUAUGAAUUUAGAUUUAGUUCUGCAGUUCUGUCAUUCUCAACUCACAUACCAUUCAUCAGAUAAUGUCUUCUGAGUCACUGUUGUUCUGAAUCUGUUUUGAAACUUCAAGCAAACAAAGUUCUCUCAUUGUAAGUAAAAAAAAUGGUAACUGAUGGAGUUAAUCUGAAUGCAAUAAGUAAGUAGAUUAGGAAACAGUAGUAGAUUAGUAUUUUUCUCAGUUUAAGCAAAGAUUUAUGUUACUUUUGUGGUCCUGUACUUCAGGUCUCUAAGAGGCUUCCUACUUCUAAAUGAACAGGCACAGGAUGUUAAUAUAUGCAGAUAAAUCAUCCUUCAACAACAGUAUUAAAUUACUAUAAAAAUUUGUGCCAAAUUUAAUUUUCCCACAACUUUUGAGAUCUGAUACAUAAUUUAACAGAGAAAACGUUAGUGAAAAGAAUAAACUAGAGAUGUAAUGGAUGCAUCAGAAUUAUACAAACAUAUAGGUUGGAAAGAUUAUCUGGAUGUCAAGUGGUCUAACCUUCUGCUCAAAACAGGGCCAAGAGAGCAAGUUAUCAGGACCUCAUCCAGUCAUGUUUUUACCAUCUCUGUGAGUGGAAAUUUCAGCACUGCAGGUGUUCCAGCUCCAAGCCAUGUGGACUGAGACAGAGGUAACUACUGCCACAGAGGAUCCUGAAAUCAUCACCACUUCCAGAAGUUUAAUUUACCUGUAACACUUGUUGCUGGCAAAUACGGAAGUUUUCUCCUCUAUUGUGCUCAGCUGGUUUAGUUUUUAAUGUUACAAAUGGGCUUCACUAGGUCUUCAAAAGCUAUCACAGGCCCUUCUCAUGACUGAUUCAUAAUAUAUAACCCUAGGAAGAAACACUAAAAGUAUCAGAUCAGUGCCAAAAGUAAAUAAUGACACUCCUUUUCAAAUCAGUUAAAAAAGGAAAAGGUAACUAACAUAUUUUUAGCAGUUUGAGAAAUACCUAGCUUACAGUGUUCCUCUGCUUCUUUCCUCUGUGCUCAGCUUCCCUAUUUGUCUACAAACUCAGUUAUAGCCUCAUUAUAAUUGUUUAGAGCUGGUCACUGGGGAAGACACAAUAAAUGGAAAUUUAACAAGGAAUGGUACCUCAGCUAGGCUGGUGACAAGCUUAAUAGGCUGUAGCAUGCUAACUUGAAUUAGUCAUCAAAUGGACUAACCACAAUUUGCAAGUGUAGAGACUGCCACAAAGGAAGCUCAAAAAAAAGCAAGAAAGCACUGCAGAUAAAAGGAUAGUUGAGGGUACUUUCUCUAUUAGGAAUAUGUAUAAUUUUCAAGCAUACUCAGUGACAGAGGAGAACGAGAGAGGAAACCAAAUCACUUCCAAAUUUACUUUGCAUAAGGAAAAGUGGAGGAAAACAUUACAACAUCACAUAUUUUUACUGAAAUUAGCUGCUUUGUGUGUAAAUGCAAAGCUUCAAAUUUUACAUCAUUUGAAACAUUGUCCCCUAGAAUUACUUUGUUACUUAUUUUGCUAUAACUGAACUUAUCAAGUGUUUGUGGGGUCCCAAACUGAUUUAAUAUGUAUAUAUUUAUCCUCUUUGUGUAUCUCAAAAAUAUUCAUUUAUAUGCUACAAGUUAAACAUUGUUCAGCCUGACUCACUUCUGAUAGAUUUGAUAUGGAUGUAUUUCCUUUUUGACAACAACAGAAAAACAACAAAAGAAACAAAGAAAAUAACGUACAAAGCCAGAUAUGUUAUUCAGUGUUACCAUUCUCAGAGUACUACUAGAUUUAAAAUACAAGGUGGAUUCAAGCUGUCAGAAAUCAAUAAGCAAGAAACUGGAAAAAAAAUAUUGUGGUGUGGAAAAACCCUUAAGAGCUAUGCCAUAGUCUUUUUCCUGUGGAAAACGUAUACCAGGAAGCAAUAUGGAAGGCAAAAGAAGUCACAGUGAAUGUGUGUCCAUUGAUGUAUGUAAAUCUCUUCUGCUCCUCCCCCUUCUUUUUUAAAGGGAAAGGUGAGAAAGAAGGAGAUUUAGUUUUAAUACAUACUUCAAACCACACCUUGUAGACCCGAGUACCAAAAAUGCACUGCAAUAAAGAUAAAACAAAAAAGUAUAUACCAAACCAUACUAGAAAAUUAUCAUGUGCAACAUUACUCAGAUUUUAAAAUACAUUUCACAAAUAUGUAAAGAUAUUUAAAGCAGGCUGAAACAGCGAGUAUUAUGAAAGAUUUGUAAUUUUUUAAAGCAUUUUGUGCUUUAUUUAUGUAUUAAUCAGGAUGCCUCCUCAAUAUGUGGAUAUUUCAAAAAGAUUUUCUAAGGGUGUACUCAUUGUGUGAAAGAUCAGAAUUACAGAAUCGUUGAGGUCAGAAAGGACUUCGACCUGGAAAUCAUUUAGUCCAAAACACCUGCUCAAAAGCAGGGUAAAAUAAUGAACACAUGUUCAAGAGACUUUAAAGAAAUAAUCUUUGUUGUACUAAUACAUUUUUAAUUUCCUAAUAAUCAUGCUGUGUAUUCUCUAGUAAAAAAGGGAGGCCAUUUUGUUCCCAUACAUCUCUCCUUGGCCCAAAACAAUACCCUCACACUGGAGUUCUAACACAAGAACUCCCAUGACAAUAAGGCUCUUUCCGAGUUUUCUAAAACAAGUUUUUGAUUGCUAAACUUUUUACAAAGAAAACAAGUGCCAAUUUCUCUUCCAAGUGUUAUCAUUUUCUGAAAAAACAGUCUUACUAAAAGCUGUUUGUAGAUGAUAGCCAAAUUAUUAUAUGCUGAGCACGGGUAGCAGACUUAGGAAAUUCUAAAAUAUGUUUUUAAUCUCAAGAAUUAUCUCAUUCAACAGACUCCCUUAAUUUUAUAAAUCAACAUCAAGAAAAGGUAUGUUGAAGUUAAGAACAAUAUUCUGAGAUAUUUGCUCACGUGUUAGCUUUUUUUUAUUGUAAAUGCACCUUAAGGUGCAGUUAUUAAAAUGCAUUCACCUCAUCAGAGUGGGUUUUGAUAACCCCCCUAGGCAACCUAUUCCAGUACCUUACUACCCUCAUAGUGAACAAUUUCUUCCUGAUGUCUAACCUAAAUCUCCCCUCUUUCAGUUUAAAACCAUUACCCCUUGUCCUAUCACUGCCCUCUCUGAUGAAAAGCCCCUCCCCAGCUUUCCUGUAGGCCCCCUUCAGUUACUGAAAGGCCGCUAUAAGGCCUCCCUGGAGCCUUCUCUUUUCCAAGCUGAACAGCCCUAACUCUCUCAACCUGUCUUCAUGGCAGAGGUGCUCCAGCCAUUUAAUCAUCCUCAUGGCCUUUCUCUUGACCCUCUCCAACAGGUCUAUAUCUUUUCCAUGCUGAGGGUACCAGAGCUGUACACGGUAUUCCACGGUAUUCCAGGUGUGGUCUCACAAGAGCAGAGUAGGAUGUAACGCAAUUAGUCACUUUAACAUUUGCUGCCAGCAAGUUGUCAAACAGCAUUUGGAGAGAGAGGAAGGGGAGCAGUGUAUAAAUUGAUACAAUUUUAAAAUUAGAUUUUUAUGAGGAUAAUUAUUAUAUAAGCAUCAUGUAUCUCAAGAAAGAAACUGAAUGGAAAUGGAAACCAAGCUGGCUCCUGUUUGAGAAAUGUGCAGAAAUGACAAUGCAUAAAGUUCCUGGUUUACAUGGUGAAUUAACCACAAUAAACCUAUCAAAGACUUUUGAUAUACAAAGUCUACGUGUGGAGAAAAAAAAACAACCCUACAUACAACUAUAAAAUUGUAUAAAACAGAUGAAGCUUCGCUACUAGAGUAAAUAAUGAUUCUUUACAAUAGGUUUUGCCAACUGUGUAGUAAAUUACAAGCUUCUUAGGAGAUAGUUUCAUUGCUUGAGUUUUUCCCUUUUGAUUUGUGAAAAAAAAGCCAAAUACAAUGCAUAAUUUAAAGAUAUCAUUACAAGCUGCUCAUAAAAAGUGCUGUGAUACAGAUGUACUGAAAAAGUAUGGUUUCUCACUUGUUAAUGACACACUGUGAAAUGUAACAGAGUCUUGUGUUUAAACAAGCCAUAGUAUACCAAGACAAAGUACAGAUAUUUUGAAUGACAAAGUAUCUUAAAUAUACUAAUAACCAGAAUAUAAUAAAGAUAACACAAUUAGAGUAUUUAUAAAUCAAAUGGAAAAAUGGAAUCUACAACUUACUGAAUUAAAAAUCUGUUAUCUUGAAUAGCCUGUCACACAUGGUCACCUGUUUUAAAUAUUUUAAAGACAUUGUUUCAUCUGUUUCACCUCCUCAUUCACCUUUGUUUCCCUGUUUUAAUUUAAAGAGACACUUUAGGAAGAAGACCUUAGGAAAAAAAGAAAAAAAAAAAAAAAAGGCAAUACUUUUAGUGCCAAUGCUAGAAGCAUUCCUUCCCUGGAGUGGUGGGGAAGCAAAGACCAGAAAUCAUAGUAAGGAAAUAUAUAGGCACACACACCAGCUAUUAAUCAGACAUUUUAAGGGAGGGAUGUCACAAAUGGGUCACUGUCAGGUUCUGAAAGGUGGUUAAAUACGGUUUCUAUAAUUAAAGUGACUUUCUAUCAUUGGCCACGGGUUUUGAAAUGCAGUCAUUACAUUCAUAGGACUUUUCAGUCACAAAGGUGAACAGGAAACUCUGACAAUUCUUUUCAUUGCAUUAUAUAUAUAAGCAUGCAUAUAUGUAUAUAUAUGUUUUUAUAUUAAAAAAAGACAUUUGCAAAGGAAG